rnacentral:lncRNA from 1 species
CAUCUUACCUUAAUUUUUGUCUGGUAAUUUAUCUUCUUUGUAUGUUUUUUAAAGAGCUUUGCGACAUUCUUUGGAGAAGUGCUUCAGAAAGCACUUCUAAAGAUUGUUAAGAUUGUCUUCUAAAGAUCAUAAAUUAUACACAUCAAUGUAAAUGUAUUAGAAAGGGUUGGCUGUGUUGGGCGCACAUCAAACAUGACCUCAGCCGGUCGGCCCACACGGACAAUGUGGUCAAAUCAGCUCUCAAACGUCUCUUCUCUCUGAGCCGACUGAAGAAGAUUCCUCCACACUUUUUACAGGUGCGCCUCCGAUAGUAUCCUGACCAACCGCAUCACAGUGCAGUAAGGGAGAGGCACAGCCAAGGUCCUCAAGGUGUUACGCAGUGUUCCCAGGAGGACUGCGGAACACAUCAUUGGCAGGGAGCUCUCAGUCCAACAGGACACCUACCGCACAUGCUGCCUUAGGCAAGCUCGCAGGAUUAUCAAGGAAUCCCACCACCCAGCACGUGAACAUUUUAGUCUGCUGCCGUCUUGUCGUCAACACCGCAGCGUCCAGUACCCGCAGACUGAAGAACUUUAACCUCAACGCCAACCUGAAAACCCUGUCUAGUACGCCUCUCCCAGGUGCCGUGUGGAUGAGGGAUUCACAAGAAUACAUUUGUAUCCAUGAUAAAUGAACAUCCUUAUGGCGGGGGCUGACACAGUGGAUAAGAAGUAGAAGAACAUCAGAAAAGAACAUUGAUCUUUACAAUCAAAUAGAUUCACAUACAAUGGUCUCAAUCCAGCUACCUUGCUUCGACCUUGAACCUUGAAGGAUAGGCCUACUGAUGUUACUCACGUCUUGCACGUGUGUGUGUGCGUGUGUGUUUUUGUGUGUGCGUGAAGCUAACUUGUGUUGACGCUCCAUUACAUGAUGCUCAGCAGGGUGGCCUGUCGCUGCUCUUUGACGUCUUUUUGUUCUUUGCCCCUGUGGUAUAGAAGACGUUGUGAUCUAAAGCUCAUUUUCUCUACAGGAUGCCUAUUUACAUACUCUGUUUUGUGGUGUCGAAGAAUUGAAGACAAAGGAAAAUAGGAAAAGAAAGGCCUAAUCAAAUAUUUACAAAACGAAGAUGCUUUGGUUUUGAAGUCACUUUCACUUUGAA